CCUACACUUCUCUGGAGUGCAUUCUGAAACCCUGGAACUUCUUUGACUUCAAGACUGAAGAAAAAGUGGCUCACAUUCUUUUGCACAGGGAUGUGGCCUUCUUUCCAGCUUGGGGAUGAACAAACCUGGCCUUCUGAGUAAUACAACCACGAUGCUUGGAAGUGAAGAGUUCAUGGCACUUUCUACCUCUUCCUAACCUUCUUACUAACGCUCUAAUGCAAUUAUGGCAAUCACAUGACCUAAGAAAUUGUUACAUAAUGAUGUACUUAGUAUGUUUAGAUAUGUCAUUGCAAAUAAACCUGGAAUGUAUGGACUUAAGGGACUCACUGAAUGAAGAAUGGCUGAUACAUACAGGAAGCAACUUCUCAUCUGUUCAAGUUUCAUCAUAGGAUUGAAGUAAUUCAGUCACAUCUUCAGGUUUCACUUCUGAUUAUACUUCCCUUGCCAUCUCCAUAACAUCUGCAAUUAGUUGCGUCACUGAAGUCUUGAAUUCCUCCAAGUGAUUCAUGAGUGUUGGAAUCAGCUUCUUCCAAAUCUCUGUCAUCAGGGAUGCAUCUACUUUAUUGGAUGGCAAAAUAGAAAAUGCCUCUUACAAUCGCCACAUAAAAAGGCACCCAUUUUGGAGACAUCUCGGCAGAAGCAGAGCCUACUCUGGUAAUCUCCUACUCAAAAGAAAGAAGCCUGAUUGCAAUCACCAGAGGAAAAAAAAGGCAAAGCAAUAACAGCAACAUUUACCAUCUUUGCUCCACCCAAUAGAGAAGUAGAC
rnacentral:lncRNA from 13 species